AUCUUCAGGGCAGGGUGCAAGUCCCUACCGGUGGUAUAGCCCACGAGCUAGUUAUUAGCAUGAUUUGGUGAAAUUCCAAAGCCGACAGUAUAGUCUGGAUGAAAGAAGAA
rnacentral:ncRNA from 1 species